rnacentral:rRNA from 1 species
GGGUGCGAUCAUACCAGCGUUAAUGCACCAGAUCCCAUCAAAACUCUGCAAUUAAGCGCGCUUGGGCUAGAGUAGUACUGGGAUGGGUGACCUCUCGGGAAGUCCUAGUGUUGCACCCU